UACGUAGGGACCGAGCGUUGUCCGGAAUCAUUGGGCGUAAAGAGCGUGUAGGCGGCUAUUUAAGUCCUGCGUGAAAUCCUGCGGCUCAACCGCAGACGGUCGUGGGAAACUGGAUGGCUAGAGUGCGGGAGAGGAGAGUGGAAUUCCCGGUGUAGCGGUGAAAUGCGUAGAGAUCGGGAGGAACACCAGAGGCGAAGGCGGCGACCUGGACAAUUACUGACACUCAACUGCGAAAGCGUGGGGAGCAAACAGG
rnacentral:rRNA from 1 species